rnacentral:rRNA from 1 species
AACGAACGCUGGCGGCAGGCCUAACACAUGCAAGUCGAGCGAAGCCUUCGGGCUUAGCGGCGGACGGGUGAGUAGCGCGUGGGAACGUGCCCUUUGCUACGGAAUAGCCCCGGGAAACUGGGAGUAAUACCGUAUGUGCCCUUCGGGGGAAAGGUUUAUCGGCAAAGGAUCGGCCCGCGUUGGAUUAGGUAGUUGGUGGGGUAACGGCCUACCAAGCCGACGAUCCAUAGCUGGUUUGAGAGGAUGAUCAGCCACACUGGGACUGAGACACGGCCCAGACUCCUACGGGAGGCAGCAGUGGGGAAUCUUAGACAAUGGGGGAAACCCUGAUCUAGCCAUGCCGCGUGAUCGAUGAAGGCCUUAGGGUUGUAAAGAUCUUUCAGUGGGGAAGAUAAUGACUGUACCCACAGAAGAAGCCCCGGCUAACUCCGUGCCAGCCGCCGCGGUAAAAC